rnacentral:rRNA from 1 species
GAUGAACGCUAGCGGCAGGCCUAACACAUGCAAGUCGAGGGGUAGAAGCUUUCGGGCUUUGAGACCGGCGCACGGGUGCGUAACGCGUAUGCAAUCUGCCUUGUACUGAGGGAUAGCCCAGAGAAAUUUGGAUUAACACCUCCUAGUAUUUUUGCCUGGCAUCAGGUGAUUAUUAAAGGUUACGGUACAAGAUGAGCAUGCGUCCCAUUAGCUAGUUGGUAUGGUAACGGCAUACCAAGGCUACGAUGGGUAGGGGUCCUGAGAGGGAGAUCCCCCACACGGGUACUGAGACACGGACCAGACUCCUACGGGAGGCAGCAGUGAGGAAUGUUGGUCAAUGGGCGCAAGCCUGAACCAGCCAUGCCGCGUGCAGGAUGAAGCAUCUAUGGUGUGUAAACUGCUUUUGUACGGGAAGAAACACUGCUACGUGUAGCAGCUUGACGGUACCGUAAGAAUAAGGAUCGGCUAACUCCGUGCCAGCAGCCGCCGUAAUAC